GACGGAGGGGGCUAGCGUUGUUCGGAAUUACUGGGCGUAAAGGGCGCGUAGGCGGCUUAGUAAGUUGGAAGUGAAAUCCCGAGGCUUAACCUCGGAACUGCUUUCAAAACUGCUAGGCUAGAGUAUAGUAGAGGGUGAUGGAAUUCCUAGUGUAGAGGUGAAAUUCUUAGAUAUUAGGAGGAACACCAGAAGCGAAAGCGAUCACCUGGGCUAUAACUGACGCUGAUGCGCGAAAGCGUGGGGAGCAAACAGG
rnacentral:rRNA from 1 species